AUGAUCUGGAGUGUGUUUGCAUAUUGAUCAGAUGCUUCAGUGCUCUGAGAGUGUUUAUAGUGCUGUGAGUUUAACACUUCAUCACUGACACACACAACAAUCUUCAUCAACAUGACCUUCAUCAUCAUCUUCAUCUGGACUCUCACAGCAUUUGCUCAAGAGUGUAGAGGACAGAUCACCGUCACUCAGAGUCCCUCAAUGACAGCAGCUCAACCAGGAGAAACAGUCAAAAUCAACUGUAGAACCAGCACAAAUGUGCGCAGAUGGAAUGAUGGGAAUGAAGGUUUAGCCUGGUACUUACAGAAACCUGGAGAAGCUCCUAAACUCCUGAUUUAUUAUGUAAAAAAGCUUCAGUCAGGAACUCCAUCUAGAUUCAGUGGCAGUGGAUCUGGGACUGAUUUCACUCUGCCCAUCAGUGGAGUCCAGACUGAAGAUGCUGGACAUUAUUACUGUCAAAGUUACCACAGUGGUAAUGUGUUCACACAGUGAUAAAGAGUCGUACAAAAACCUCCGUCAGUCAGAGUCACAGUGACUGAACUGAUUCUGCAGCUGCUCAAACACUAUCACUCACUACUGACACACAGAGACCAAACACAGGAACUACACAUGUGCUCAAAACUG